rnacentral:tRNA from 1 species
GACUGCUUGGCGCAAUGGUAGCGCGCGGUCCUCCUAUUACUGCGGUCUAUCCGCUGAAAUAGGUAGUGAAAGACUGAGGUUGCGGGUUCGAGUCCCGUGGUGGUCG